UGGGGAAUUUUGGACAAUGGGCGAAAGCCUGAUCCAGCAAUGCCGCGUGUGUGAAGAAGGCCUUCGGGUUGUAAAGCACUUUUGUCCGGAAAGAAAUCCUCUGGGUUAAUACCUCGGGGGGAUGACGGUACCGGAAGAAUAAGCACCGGCUAACUACGUGCCAGCAGCCGCGGUAAUACGUAGGCUGCAAGCGUUAAUCGGAAUUACUGGGCGUAAAGCGUGCGCAGGCGGUUUUGUAAGACGGAUGUGAAAUCCCCGGGCUUAACCUGGGAACUGCAUUCGUGACUGCAAGGCUAGAGUAUGGCAGAGGGGGGUAGAAUUCCACGUGUAGCAGUGAAAUGCGUAGAGAUGUGGAGGAAUACCGAUGGCGAAGGCAGCCCCCUGGGCCAAUACUGACGCUCAUGCACGAAAGCGUGGGGAGCAAACAGGAUUCAGAUACCCUGGUAGUCCACGCCCUAAACGAUGUCAACUAGUUGUUGGGGAUUCAUUUCCUUAGUAACGUAGCUAACGCGUGAAGUUGACCGCCUGGGGAGUACGGUCGCAAGAUUAAAACUCAAA
rnacentral:rRNA from 1 species